rnacentral:rRNA from 1 species
CAAUAGCGUAUAUUAAAGUUGUUGCAGUUAAAAAGCUCGUAGUUGGAUUUCUGUUCUCGAGGAUCGGUCCGCCUCACGGUGAGCACUGGUUUUUCUUGGGGACAUCCUCUCGAAGGCGGGUGGUGCACUUAAUUGUGUGCUGCUUGGAUUCGGGACCUUUACUUUGAAAAAUUAGAGUGUUCAAAGCAGGCGUCGGCUUGAAUACAUUAGCAUGGAAUAAUAAGAUAGGACUUUGGUCUAUUUUGUUGGUUUACAUUCCAAAGUAAUGAUUAAUAGGGAUAGUUGGGGGUAUUCGUAUUCAAUUGUCAGAGGUGAAAUUCUUGGAUUUAAUGAAGACGAACUACUGCGAAAGCAUUUACCAAGGAUGUUUUCAUUAAUCAAGAACGAAAGUUAAGGGAUCGAAGAUGAUCAGAUACCAU